GCUUCGCUGGCCUAGUGGUUGGAGCGUCCGCCUUGGAUGCGGGAGGUCGUGGGUUCGAUCCCCGGUUGAGUCA